GGUUAAGCGACUAAGCGUACACGGUGGAUGCCCUGGCAGUCAGAGGCGAUGAAGGACGUGCUAAUCUGCGAAAAGCGUCGGUAAGGUGAUAUGAACCGUUAUAACCGGCGAUGUCCGAAUGGGGAAACCCAGUGCAAUUCGUUGCACUAUCGUUAACUGAAUACAUAGGUUAACGAGGCGAACCGGGGGAACUGAAACAUCUAAGUACCCCGAGGAAAAGAAAUCAACCGAGAUUCCCCCAGUAGCGGCGAGCGAACGGGGAGCAGCCCGGAGUCUGAAUCAGCUUGUGUGUUAGUGGAAGCGUCUGGAAAGUCGCAGGGUACAGGGUGAUACUCCCGUACACUAAAACGCACAGGCUGUGAACUCGAAGAGUAGGGCGGGACACGUGGUAUCCUGUCUGAAUAUGGGGGGACCAUCCUCCAAGGCUAAAUACUCCUGACUGACCGAUAGUGAACCAGUACCGUGAGGGAAAGGCGAAAAGAACCCCGGCGAGGGGAGUGAAAAAGAACCUGAAACCGUGUACGUACAAGCAGUAGGAGCCCACUAGUUGGGUGACUGCGUACCUUUUGUAUAAUGGGUCAGCGACUUAUAUUCUGUAGCAAGGUUAACCGAAUAGGGGAGCCGCAGGGAAACCGAGUCUUAACUGGGCGUUAAGUUGCAGGGUAUAGACCCGAAACCCGGUGAUCUAGCCAUGGGCAGGUUGAAGGUUGGGUAACACUAACUGGAGGACCGAACCGACUAAUGUUGAAAAAUUAGCGGAUGACUUGUGGCUGGGGGUGAAAGGCCAAUCAAACCGGGAGAUAGCUGGUUCUCCCCGAAAGCUAUUUAGGUAGCGCCUCGUGAACUCAUCUUCGGGGGUAGAGCACUGUUUCGGCUAGGGGGUCAUCCCGACUUACCAACCCGAUGCAAACUACGAAUACCGAAGAAUGUUAUCACGGGAGACACACGGCGGGUGCUAACGUCCGUCGUGAAGAGGGAAACAACCCAGACCGCCAGCUAAGGUCCCAAAGUCAUGGUUAAGUGGGAAACGAUGUGGGAAGGCCCAGACAGCCAGGAUGUUGGCUUAGAAGCAGCCAUCAUUUAAAGAAAGCGUAAUAGCUCACUGGUCGAGUCGGCCUGCGCGGAAGAUGUAACGGGGCUAAACCAUGCACCGAAGCUGCGGCAGCGACGCUUAUGCGUUGUUGGGUAGGGGAGCGUUCUGUAAGCCGUUGAAGGUGGCCUGUGAGGGUUGCUGGAGGUAUCAGAAGUGCGAAUGCUGACAUAAGUAACGAUAAUGCGGGUGAAAAACCCGCACGCCGGAAGACCAAGGGUUCCUGUCCAACGUUAAUCGGGGCAGGGUGAGUCGACCCCUAAGGCGAGGCCGAAAGGCGUAGUCGAUGGGAAACAGGUUAAUAUUCCUGUACUUGGUGUUACUGCGAAGGGGGGACGGAGAAGGCUAUGUUGGCCGGGCGACGGUUGUCCCGGUUUAAGCAUGUAGGCGGAUGUUCCAGGUAAAUCCGGAACGUUACUAACGCUGAGGUGUGAUGACGAGGCACUACGGUGCUGAAGUGACAAAUGCCCUGCUUCCAGGAAAAGCCUCUAAGCAUCAGGUAACAUCAAAUCGUACCCCAAACCGACACAGGUGGUCAGGUAGAGAAUACCAAGGCGCUUGAGAGAACUCGGGUGAAGGAACUAGGCAAAAUGGUGCCGUAACUUCGGGAGAAGGCACGCUGAUGGUAGGUGAAGUGACUUGCUCAUGGAGCUGAAAUCAGUCGAAGAUACCAGCUGGCUGCAACUGUUUAUUAAAAACACAGCACUGUGCAAACACGAAAGUGGACGUAUACGGUGUGACGCCUGCCCGGUGCCGGAAGGUUAAUUGAUGGGGUUAUCCUCGCGGAGAAGCUCUUGAUCGAAGCCCCGGUAAACGGCGGCCGUAACUAUAACGGUCCUAAGGUAGCGAAAUUCCUUGUCGGGUAAGUUCCGACCUGCACGAAUGGCGUAAUGAUGGCCAGGCUGUCUCCACCCGAGACUCAGUGAAAUUGAACUCGCUGUGAAGAUGCAGUGUACCCGCGGCAAGACGGAAAGACCCCGUGAACCUUUACUAUAGCUUGACACUGAACACUGGUCCUUGAUGUGUAGGAUAGGUGGGAGGCUUUGAAGUGUGGACGCCAGUCUGCAUGGAGCCAUCCUUGAAAUACCACCCUUUAAUGGCUGGUGUUCUAACGUGGGCCCGUAAUCCGGGUUGCGGACAGUGUCUGGUGGGUAGUUUGACUGGGGCGGUCUCCUCCUAAAGAGUAACGGAGGAGCACGAAGGUCAGCUAAUCCUGGUCGGACAUCAGGAGGUUAGUGCAAUGGCAUAAGCUGGCUUGACUGCGAGCGUGACGGCGCGAGCAGGUGCGAAAGCAGGUCAUAGUGAUCCGGUGGUUCUGAAUGGAAGGGCCAUCGCUCAACGGAUAAAAGGUACUCCGGGGAUAACAGGCUGAUACCGCCCAAGAGUUCAUAUCGACGGCGGUGUUUGGCACCUCGAUGUCGGCUCAUCACAUCCUGGGGCUGAAGUAGGUCCCAAGGGUAUGGCUGUUCGCCAUUUAAAGUGGUACGCGAGCUGGGUUUAGAACGUCGUGAGACAGUUCGGUCCCUAUCUGCCGUGGGCGCUGGAGAAUUGAGGGGGGCUGCUCCUAGUACGAGAGGACCGGAGUGGACGCAUCACUGGUGUUCGGGUUGUCAUGCCAAUGGCAUUGCCCGGUAGCUAAAUGCGGAAGAGAUAAGUGCUGAAAGCAUCUAAGCACGAAACUUGCCCCGAGAUGAGUUCUCCCUGACUCCUUGAGAGUCCUGAAGGAACGUUGAAGACGACGACGUUGAUAGGCCGGGUGUGUAAGCGCAGCGAUGCGUUGAGCUAACCGGUACUAAUGAACCGUGAGGCUUAACCUU
rnacentral:rRNA from 1 species